CAAAGUUAGCCCUGUAAGGUGCAAGCAAUCAGGUAAGAUUGAUAAGAGGUACUUCUACCAAGACAAAAGAAGAACAAACAUUAAUAGUCUGAACAAAUUAUAAACCCAGUGUCUGAGUCCUGAGAGCUGCCAGUUGAGAAGAUCUCUAGGUGUUAAGGUCAAAGCAUCUUCUGCAGUUCUGCUGAUGUCAUCAGGUGAUCAGGUAAACUUUUUGAGUGACUUACACAGUAUCCGGCACGAAGAUGGUCUAAACAGGGCUGUUGUGGCAAUCUCUCUCAAGUUUGUAUCAAGUUGUUCCGCUUCAGUUUGCAGGACUUUAGGCAAGGGGCAGCUUUAGUUCUCAAUGAUUUCAAGUCAAAAGUGGGAGAAAAAAAUCAGAAAUGUUAGUUUGGAGAGCUGUAGCUAAAUGUUUGAGGAAACUAAAAGAAUUUGGGAUCCAAUCCAGUUUAUAGCUGGAAAAAAAUGAAAGUAAGUAAGCAAGCUACCAGGCAGUAUUUCCAAGGGGCUUAAUGCUCUAUGAAGUCAGGCUUAAUUCCUUAAAGCUGUCUGCUCAUAUCUGAUUCUAUGUGCAUUCUCAGAUACGGCAUUCCAGUCAAAGUGUUGGUAAUAUAAUCAUUGUUUCCCGUUGCAUCCCAUUAUAAGGAGAGCAGAUUCUUAGUGAAUUUAUGUAAAUAACUAUAGUGCCAUGAAAAUAAGAAGACUUACUAAGAGCUUUCAAAUUCUGGAGGGACUAGGUAGGUAGAAAAAAGAUAGUAUUUCAGUUCUGCUUACAAAGGCAUAAUUUACCAAAUUGCUAUAAGAAAUAGCAUAAGAGGAAAGAUUUCCUUAUGCCUACAAAACAAAGAUUAAAUAACCAGUAAUAUUUCAGACAAGAAGUUAUGAAAAUUAUAAUCAUAUUCAUCACGUCACUCAGUCUCUGUAGUUUGUUCUUAUUGAUCUUGACUUUUGUUAGCAGUUUUAUGAAACCAUAAGGUUUUCCAUCCAAGUCCUGUAAUUUCUGACCCAGUUCAGUAGUGUGGUCUGAAAAUUAUCAGGGAUGUGCAUUUAACAAAAACCCUUUUCUAUGCAUCUUCUUGAAUAUGAAGCAUUUUAGUAAAAGCAUCAGAUAAAACAAUAACUGUAUAAAAAUGACAAGACUUAAAAUGGUAUGGUUGGAAUUCCCUGGUGGCACAGGAGGUUAAAGAUCUGGUAUUGUCACUGCUAUGGCUGAGAUCACUGCUGCAGCUCAGGUUCAGUCCCUGGCCUGGGAAUUUCCACGUGCUGUGGACAUGGCUAAUGAAAUGAAAUAAAAUGAAAUAAAUGUCUCUCCUUGAAAAAAAAAAAAAGGCAUGGUUAAGGAUCUGAUUCAUUAUAAUUCAAUUUGACAGAGGAAUUUGUUUUUUUCUGUGAUGCAUAAUAUUUUAAGAUAAUUAGAAUUAUGACUGAUAACACUAUAUAAAGACAUAAGAUUUAUAGGAAUUUCAUUAUCAUUUUUAGAACAAAUAUUAAUAACAAUCUUCCAUGCAAAAACCUAGGCAGAUUUAUCAACACUUAUUCGGCAAUGUGUCCCAUGUAAUUUAACAUGCCGUAUGAGCCUAAUUAGUUCAAUGUCUCUCUUUGAGUUUUCUCAGGGGCCCUCUGAAAAAUCCCUAGGUUAGCUAGAUGUCAAAAGGCCUUCACUUAGAAUUUGACUUAAGGAUGUUUGUAAAAAAUAUCAAAAAGUAUUAAAACACUUAGAGUUUUCUCAUGGCUCAUCAGGCUAAAGGUCAUGGCAUUGUCACUGCUGUGGCUUUGCUUACAGCUGUGGUGCAGGUUCAAUCCCUAGCCCGGGAACUUCUGCAUGGCCUUGGGUAGAGCCAAAAAAAUCACAAAAAAACCCACAAACAAGCAGAAAACAACAACAACAACAAAAAACACUCGGUCAAGUAGGAUCAUAGGUCACUGUGAACUAAUACUUAUCUAUCCACUUAACCAAAGUGACAAUAAAAGAUUUCAAAGGCAAAUAAAGAAUGUUAUAGCAGAUUACUUAAAAGAUGAAGAAACUUUCAUAAAAUAUUCUCAAAAACAGAUAAAUAGUGCAUGAACACUUUGUCUUCUUAACAGAGAGAGAAAACCAAAUUCUGGUUUUAUAUCAGCUUUGGAUUUUAAAAUUCAUUCACUCAAUUAAAUUCAUUCCAAUUUUAACCGGUCUUGACCAUGCACAAUACUCUCCUCAGGGUUCCUUUCCACAGACCUUCUAUAACUCCCUCUUUUACAUUCAGAUUUUGCCCUAUGCUUUCACUUUUUUAAAAAGCUGUGUUUGGGAGUUCUACUGUGAUGCAGUAGGUUAAAAAUGAGCUUGUCUCUGUGGCAUUACUGGUUUGACCCUGACUUGGCACAGCAGGUUAGGUAUCUCGUGUUGCUGUAGUUGUGAGGUGGGACAAAGAUGCAGCCCAAAUUCGAUCCCUGGCCUGGGAACUUCCAUAUGCCAUGGGUAUGGCCAAAAAGGGGGGAAAAAAGCCCUGUUUUAGGGCAAAAUUACUUUCUUUUUUCUUAAAAUGCUUUUCCAUUUUUAAUGUAUAUUUAAAAAAUUUCCUUGCAUGCAAAGAUGUUUUCCUAACUCUAAUAGUUGUAAUUAUAUACAUUAAUUAGAAUGUUUAACCCUCAGAAACUUUAAUUUAUAGUGAAAAGUAAGAAUUUGUGAACUGGAGUUUCCAUUGUGGCUCAGCGAAAAUAAAUCUUACUAGCAUCCAUGAGGAUGCAGGUUUGAUCCCUGGCCUUGCUCACUGGCGUUGCCAUGAGCUAUGGUGUAGGUCAGGGGUGCAGCUCGGAUCUGGCGUUGCUGCGGCUAUGGUGUAGGCCAGCAGGCUACAGCUCUGAUUCGACCCUUAGCCUGGGAAUCUCCAUACACCGCAGGUGUGGCCCUAAAAAAGUAAAAAAUAAAAAAAUAAAAAAAAUUGUGAACUGUUUGUUCCACCAGUACUUUUUGAUUGGCAAGCUUGUGAAUACAUUUCAUAAUUUCUAGAUACAUACAUUUCCUUAUGGCAUAAUUUUUCAAUGUGGUACAAGUAACAUUUACUAAUAAGUUUAAACAUCCUUAGAUUUUCUGUAAUAAAACAGAAGGAGAUAGACUUGUUUAGCAAUUAACAUUUCAGUAUUUUAUUUCAUUUGAAAAUUAUCUACACAUCCAAUAAAUUCCCCACUGAAAUUAGCAAAACCAAAAAAAUUGGGGGGAAGCUAUUUUUAAAGUCACAUACCAAAAUUAUUACUAAGAGUUUAUCCAUAAACACUUAUCCCAUUUACAUCAUUUAUAUCAUUUGUUCUCAACAGUUGUUUAGAUUGCUUGCAAAAACUUCAUGAGAUAAAGUCAGCCAUCUGAGCUAUUUUUCUUGCUGACAAACUUUGUAACAAAGAUAAUAUAAACUUAUUUGAACUUUGGUAAAGUAGAAUAAAAAGUUUAUUUUUAACGUUGAUAAUCUAAAGGCAUGACUAUUUUAAGUAAACUGAUAGUUUAAACUUUGCUUUUAUUUACUAAAGAUUAAUCUAAGGCCAACUCUUUUUUUUCUUUUUUCUUUUGUCUUUUUAGGGCCGCCCAUCAGGAUAUGGAGGUUCCCAGGGUAGGGGUUGAAUCAGAGCUGUAGACACUGGCCUACACGACAGCCACAGCAACGUCAGAUCCGAUCCAAGUCUGUGACCUACACUACAGCUCAUGGCAACACAGAUCCUUAAUCCACUGAUCAAGGCCAGGGAUGGAACCUGUGUCCUGGAUGCUAGUCAGAUUCGUUUCUGCUGAGUCACGACAGGAACUCCAGAUAGAGCUCUUUUUAUAAUUUCAUUUUCACCAUAACAUCAAGAGGUAGGAAAAUAUCAUAUAUCUAUAAUUUGUAUACAUUAACAUCCAUACAUCAGUGAUCUCAUGAUUUUCAUUUAAAAACUUCAGUCAUGGACUAGGUACAGUAUAAAAUGUACUAGUUUACAGACAGCUUAGGAACAGUUUAUAGUUUGUAAACAGUUGGAAUAAUGAAGUUUAUGUGCUGAGAUAGCUAAGGCUUCAUUAUUUUUGAAAAGACUUUUAAGAUUUGUGUUGUUGUCCCUUGAACCUUGUGGGUCCACUUAUAUAUGGAUAUUUUUUUCAAUAAAUACAUUGGAAAAUAUCUUAGAGAUUUGAGACAAUUUGAGAAAACUUUCAGAUGAACUGCGUAACCUAGAAAUACUAAAAAAAACUAAGACAAAGGUAUGUCAUCAAUGUAUGGAGCCAUUCAGUUGUGAGAAAUGUAAAAGAACAUAAAGACGGUAUUAAUUGUAACUGCAUAAAAUUAACUGUAGUACAUACAGUACUAUUGUAAUAAUUUUGUGGUCACCUGUUGCUCUUACAGUGAGUGUAAGUGUUGUGAUGGCGUAUCACAGUAAAAGUAAUCUCUUGCGGUUCUCACAUAUUUUUCAUUGUUUUUAGUGUAAUACUAUAAACCUUGAAUAACACCCUGGAACCCAUAGGAAUGCUACUAGUGGUGCUGGGAGUGCUUCCAAGAUACAGAAAAAAGUCAUGACAUUACAAGGAAAAGUUGAAUGCUUGAUAUGUACCAUAGACUGAGGUCUGCAGCCGUAGUUGCUUGCCAUUUCAAGAUAAAUGAAUCCAGAGUAAGG
rnacentral:lncRNA from 1 species